CAGCAAUUGUGGAGGACCUAGGCUGAAACAAAAGAGCCACAGGAUAGAAGCAGCCAGGAUGACAGUCACUACAGGGAAAAAUCCUGCCCUGAAUUUACAAGGUUUCCUCAUGACUUUGAGGCAUGUAACCAUGGAGUGUGGAGUUAGUGAUCAAAGUUUGAACAUGAGGCAACUUUUUGGAUGAAAAAUAAAUUGUUAAACAAGGGGUAACAGAAAGAAAAGCACCAUGGGCCAGAGUUGCCAAUAUUGAACUUCUGCUUCAGCCAUCCUAAUUCAGGACUAUCUCAUCAAGAUUACUUUAAGUCUGUGAAGACCUUUAUGUUUUAAACAUGUCAUUCUGAGGUUCCAGUGGACUUACAUUUUGGAGAGCCAGUGUUCAGCCUAAUACAGAUUGUUCGGAAAUACUCAGAAAGUCGUGUGACAGAAUGGUGACCAAUGAGAUACAAGAAGAAGUUUCCAGGUUCAGAAAAAAUCCUUAAGAGUUUUCUAAGCUGGAAGAUGCCCUUGUGAUCCACCCCCUUUCUUGCUAAUUCCAGACAUGUAUUUGAUGGCUGGAGUUACAGUGACUUUGAUUAUGGGGCAACUGUUUGGAUGAGAGUCAAGCAUGAAACAGGGUGAACAGAAAGACCAAAGGAUCUGGGGCCACUGUUGCUACUUCUGAGCUUCUGUACCAGCUCUUCCCAGGAAGAACGCUUCGUCUUCCAAACUCAGCGAUAUGAGAGGAAAGAGUCCCCUAACUUGUUUCAGCCAUUGUUUUCCUGGACUCUGUUAUGAGCCACACAAGUACUCCGUGAAGUGGUCCCUUCCCAUAGUCCGAGAUGAAAGGGAAGGACAAGAGGGCAAAGUGAUUACACAGAAGUUUCCAGACAGGAGGAAAGAUAGUUAAGGGAUAUUAAACUCAUGACUUCAACUUUUAGAAUGAAGUAAGAGGCAGAACUACUGAAAUUGAAUAUGGUAGGACUUGAGGUAGGGAGAUUUUUAAUCAUUUUAAUGGUGUGCUAGAAUGAAAUACUGUCCUAACUGCUGAUCUAAUAUACUUUGCCUACUUUGUGUUAUAACCUGUCUCUGGGAAAAAAUGGGUAGCAUUUCUUCCAUACCGAACAUAAAGAACAUUUGUUUUUUGUAGUUGUGCAGACUAAUUCCAUUUUGGAAGCUCAUCGUGAACCUUUAAUUUUUUUAGUGGUAAUAACCUGUAAGCCAGUUCAACCUGAAGAACAUUCCUUUUUUAUACUUCAAAAGUGCUAGUGGGACCUUACUUGACCAAAAAAAAAAAAAAAAAAAAGGCUUCAAAGUGGAUCUGGAGGCAGUUUGACAACAAGUGAAACUUUGAGGGUAAACAUUAGCUGUCACCCAAAAGAGCCUCUUCUCCAGCAGGUUGAAAGUGAUUGAGAUGAGAAGAUGUCUCGAAAAUGACUGAAGUUUUCCACUUCCCUUUGACUUAAGUGCUUAAUUCCUUAAGUCAAUUUUUCAGUAUACCUGGACUAAUCAAUAUCCUCAAAUUGUUAUCAUUAACCUCUUGGCUACCAUCCCUACAUCCACUGCCUCUUGAUUUAUGCCCAAAUGAGGGAACUUGUAAGGUGAAUUUUUAUUUUUAUCAGAAAUGGCUUUGAGAUUCUGUUGCGUUAUUUUCCUAACAAGGUUUCAUAUUCAUAGGAAUAUAUCUUCUAGAGAAAUUUUCUCCCCAAAGUGCUUUGAUAGUAAUCAUUCAACCUGCGGCUUUAACAUACACAGCAUUGAAAAAACAUGGGAGAGAAUCAUUGUGAAAUCUGCAUCACCAAAUAAAGUGACAUACUAAUAUGCACAUGUCAAGACUAAAAAAAGAACAAUGUUAAGAUUACACAUGCAUCUUGACUGAAUUUUUCAAAAUCACUUUCUAGUUCUUGGCAAACUGUCAGGGGUAAGGAUAAUGUCCCACUCAUCUUUGUGUCCAACAUCAAACUGACACUGUUCCUACCAUAAAGCAAAGCCUCCAUAAAUGUGU